rnacentral:lncRNA from 1 species
GCUCAGCCGCCGCGGCUCAUCACUGCCCGCGCGACGACGACACUGCUAUAGCCUCACGCCGGGACACCGAGGCCAGCUCCGGUCUACUCGGCUUCUUCCGGAACGAGCUCGAUUCCUGCCUGACCGGAGUGAGGUUCCAGCUCCUAGCGUCCUCACCGAGUCCCAGCAGACGUCGUGCGGUGCCAACCGCUGGCAAGGUUUGCCCUGCCCGCGUCCGGGUUCGCCUCCUUCCGGAACACCUUCGGCCGAUCCGGAGAACAAGGCCCAGCGCUCGGCUCAGGUCGGAGAGCAAGACCCCGCAGAUCGGCCACUUCCGGAAGGAACUCGGCUCCUUUCGCUCAGCCGCGGCCUCGCGCUCGGUUAUUUCCGUUGCAGCUCGACCCCGCCCCUGAGGGCGGUGAGGAGCCGGAAUUAACUCUUUGCACUAUGGGUCCUAGCAGCUCCCCGGCAGUGGCGUCGAAAGGCGCGCGCGCGCCCUCACUCUUCUUGAGGUUAUUUGCAAGCCGCUUUGCCUGUUAUUUGCAUAUUUGGUCUGAACUCCCUUUUCUCUUCCCGCCCUGCACUUUUUUCUUUCAUCCUAACACAACUGGGCCCCUGAGGGGACCCGCCGCACAAAAGCACCAGGCAGUUACUUUUUUCUUUUUAUUGCCCCUCACCGAGCAGAGGGUGUCGGAGCUGGGUUGCCUGGCUCAGCCAGCAAGUCUGUUGUUAUUUUGUGUGCAGUGGGGUGGUUAGCCCCUCCAGAAAAAUGCGCAAUUGGGAAUGUAUGAAGUCAAAGAAAAAGCCAGCACAGGAAAAGACUGUCCUUGGUCCUAGGGGUUUUGGCCAGGGUGGGGCCAGACCACAGUACCAGAGGGACAAGACCAUCCAGCAUCAAUCACACGUCCAGGGAGGAGGCAGGGGACAGAGAGGGCGUUCUAGAUGGUGUGGCAGGAGCGGGCCCAGAGCUCCCUGCCCCCAGCACUCGCCACUGAAAGAUGCUAGCAUCCUUGCCACCUAAGGAGACAACUGGGCUGCUACCAGACUGAAGAGUAUACAUGGGGAAGACUUGGUGACAGCAGGAGAGGGGAGGCCUGGGUUACAGAGAAGCACCCGAAAGGUGUGGUUCAACACUUUAGUUAGCCUUGGUCACCUCUUGUCCCUGUCCCCGUUACCAAGAACCCUUCCUAGACUUCCCUGCUUUUCUUCCUAGGAGGUCUGGCAUUCUCUCACCUCCCUGUGUUCAGUCCUACAACCACAACUGCCCCACUUGGGUGGAAGUCAGCACAUAAACCCGUCUCCUGGGAAGAAAAAAAGACCCCAGCGCAUCUCUCACCUCUGCCUCCUGGAGGGCCACCAACCCGGGCCCCCACUGCACCAGUCGUCGGUCCCGCCCACCACCACUCAGCACUGUCCCAUCCCGGCGGAGACACAGGGCAAAGAUGGACCCCUCGUGAGCAUGGGCCUGGGCCACGAUCGUGUAGGUCUCUGUUGGUAAAGGCUAGAAUUUCUGAGAUACAAACAUCCUAAAUGCUAGCCCUAACCACAUACCUUUGGCCCCACCCCUGCCUGGGGUCUUGGAAUCUGAGACACUUCGACCCCAGGUAAGAAUGUUCCCCUCGGAAUCUCCAGUGAGGAUGUCUCCAUCAGGAAGGAAGACAAAGCAAGGGAUGAACUUGGGUUUCUUGUAUUUCUGGAGAGGGCAGAGGACAGGUGUCACAGGACAGAUGUGGAUGCUGGGGCACAUUAGAAUCAACACAUGUCACAGGAUAGCUGGGGUGCUGGGGUGCAUUAGAGUCUACAGCACUUAGCCCCACUUCCCUCUCCACUGCCUCACCCAUCCACACCUCACCCCAAAAACACCCUGCUUCCGGGCGAGGAGCCCAUUCCCGGGAGCCCCUGUCCCACCGCUCCAGUUCCAAAAGUGGACAUGCGAUUUCCCACUGGUGACAAUACAGCUGCUGUCACGAGGGCUGAAGCCAACAGCGAGGACUGAGUCAUUUGUACUCUGAAAAAAAGAAGACACUUGAUUCAGCCAAUCUAAGUCCUAAGCCUGCCUUCCUCCCUCCCUCUCUCUCUCUCUCUCUCUCUCUCUCUCUCUCUCUCUCUCUCUCUCUUUUCUUUUGAGACAUGGUUUCUCUGUGUAGUCCUGGCUGUCCUGGAACUCACUUUGUACACCAGGGUGGUCUCAAACUCAGAAAUCCGCCUGCCUCUGCCUCA